GUCCACGCCGUAAACGAUGAGAACUUGACGUCGGCUUGCUUAGCGAGUCGGUGUCGUAGCUAACGCGAUAAGUUCUCCGCCUGGGGAGUACGGCCGCAAGGUUGAAACUCAAAGGAAUUGACGGGGGCCCGCACAAGCGGUGGAGUAUGUGGUUUAAUUCGAUGCAACGCGAAGAACCUUACCUGGCCUUGACAUGUCCGGAAUCCUGCAGAGAUGCGGGAGUGCCUUCGGGAAUCGGAACAC
rnacentral:rRNA from 1 species